rnacentral:rRNA from 1 species
GUGCAGCCGCCGCGGUAAUACGGAGGGUGCAAGCGUUAUCCGGAUUCAUUGGGUUUAAAGGGUGCGCAGGCGGAUACUUAAGUCAGUGGUGAAAUCCCGGGGCUCAACCCCGGAACUGCCAUUGAUACUGAAUAUCUGGAAUACGGUUGAAGUGGGCGGAAUGUAGCAUGUAGCGGUGAAAUGCAUAGAGAUGCUACAGAACACCGAUCGCGAAGGCAGCUCACUAAGCCGAUAUUGACGCUCAGGCACGAAAGCGUGGGGAGCGAGCAGGAUUAGAUACCCUGGUAGUCCACGCCGUAAACGAUGAUAACUCGUUGUUGGCGACACACAGUCAGCGACUAAGCGAAAGCGAUAAGUUAUCCACCUGGGGAGUACGAUCGCAAGGUUGAAACUCAAAGGAAUUGACGG